rnacentral:rRNA from 1 species
CAGCAGUGAGGAAUAUUGGUCAAUGGGCGGGAGCCUGAACCAGCCAAGCCGCGUGAAGGAGGAAGGCGCCAGGCGUCGUAAACUUCUUUUGUCGGGGAACAAAGGGCGCCACGCGUGGCGUUGUGAGUGUACCCGAAGAAAAAGCAUCGGCUAACUCCGUGCC